CCCUCGGCCAUUUUAGUACGAAAGGAUCGAAUGAUUCACAAUUCUGUAAAUACUGAUUAUUGCCGAUUUCUUCUUCGGGUAUGUUUCUCUUAUUACUCGUGGGGUCUCGUGAUUGAAGAGAAUUUUUUACGUGAUAUAUAUAUAUAUAUAUCAGCGUCGACAUGGGGAAUUUAUUAUUAUAGGCGGAGAUCGUCAUUUGGUCGACACUGAGCCUUCUUUAUAGUAUCUGCGAGACUGCAUGAGAAAUAUUGUGAGAUUUUAGUGACAGUACCUUCGUACACGGGGAUUUUCCUUUUUCUUUACGGGUUAUUCGAUUUGUAGAUAUAAUCAGGAGGUUCUUUGGAAAUCGCCAUUUUUAUGAGAUUGCUCCCGCUUCCUUCUGUACCUCAGGGUGAGAAGGAAUGGGGAUAACAAGAAAAAUGCCCAAGCCCAUUUCGUACGAACACCAGAAUGGAUGAGAUAUAGAGAUAUAAAGAUUGCAGAUAACUAUAUUAUUACGCUGUAGUAAUAUUAGACAUUUCUAUAUAUAUACAUAUAUAUAUAUAGAAAGUAUAAGGUGAACGUUAUAAUUGUGUAUAAGAAAUGAAUACGCCGCUGGCCAAAGCUGCGAAUCCAUUAGAUGAUUAUGAUGAUGAGGAUGUGUAAUAAUGAUAACAAGACAACACAAUAAUAUUAACGAUAGUCAUACUGAAUUAUUAUUAACAAUUAUUACUGUACAAUUUACAAGAAUCACUAAUCAAUAGCUGUCUUCUUGUAGUAUUAUUGCCAAGGCAUUUAUUGAUUUUAUAUAAUAAACGGUGCAAAAUUAACGUCGUUGGAUGAUAAUGCUUUUAUUCAUCUCAUUCCAACAAAGAUUGUAUUUCUAAUUAACAAUUACAACGUAUGAUUGUACUGCUGGUAAUCUUGCAUCAGUAUUCAGUCUCAUUAUUGCUGCGUCUAUUACAGUUUUCGUUGCCAAUUAACCGAUUUUCAUUGUCCAAGUUUUAUUUCGGCAUCAAAGCGCCACCUGAGCGGAGAGCUGUCGAACCAAUCUCACAUUUCUGAUUGGCCGAGUAGAUGUAGUAUACUACGCAUGAUAUUCGUGAGCUCCGUGAGACGCAUGGAUUUAUACCGGGUGGCACUCUGAAGCGUAUGUAUUUUCGGAUCGACGCGCCACCUGGAUGGAGGACCCUGGAACCAGUCCCACGUUUGUGAUUCGUCGAAUGAUAUCUUAAGCAAACCCCAAUCAUGGAUAAUACGAGAUAUAUAAAUUUCUCGAUUUUUUUUUUACCACGAUAACUGAACAGCACACGUGCAUGGUGUUUUGGUAGCGCAUGAGCAGUCUCGGCUUCGAGACUCAGUCAUCAACUUUUUUUUUUAUAUUGAUUUGCUCACUAUGCUCAUUGGUUUUAUUAAUUACCCUAGGAUUGAAUAAAUACAUGAGUAUAUUUUAGUAUUUACAUUUUAUUAUACUAUUUACAUAAAAUAAAUACAUAAAUCAGCGAGCGUUUCUUCUUACCGAAAGCCCGUGAGUAACAAACCGAGCAGAUGGAACAUAAGCACAAGCAGGAAACGAAAAUUUACAUGGAAAACGCACUGGCCUGUGCGGGCACGUGGGCCCUCGCAGCCAUCAGGUACCGGGUUCGCGGCCGGGUAUUAUUUUUGUUUUUCUUUAAUCAGGCCAUGCUGCGACCACGGACACAUUGAAAACAAAAUUAUUGGAGAACUGUAUGUACGUCAGUAACGCAGAAACACCCUCUCAUCAGGCGGCAUGUCGACGCCGAAAUAAGACUUGGAUCAUGAAAAUCAGCUCAUUGCGUACCCUAAAAAGGCUCAAACCCCUGCCGGGACACCCAUAAGGUUCUGUUGCGGUCACAACUUGUGCCCGACCCACUGAGCAAACUCAGCGGAUGAAGCGGAAGGGCAAUACCUGACACCAUGGUGUAUACGUAUGGCUACUCUAACAAGGUUAUCCAGCUAUUCGUGAAUCGCAAAGAAGGACUAAUUGUAAGAGUGGCAUCACUUUCAAUGAUGACAAGUCUGCCAGCACAGCCUGUAAAAAAAAGUAUUUAUAUGAGG